rnacentral:misc_RNA from 1 species
ACGAGGCGCAGGAUGUCUUCCAGGAGACAUGGCUACGGAUCGUGAGGCUCCGUGAUCGCGGCACGCGGAUCGAAAACUUCCGCGCGAUGCUCUUCACGAUCGCACGAAACCUCGCUCUUACCCAGAUCGGGC